rnacentral:rRNA from 1 species
GUAGGGGGCAAGCGUUGUCCGGAAUUAUUGGGCGUAAAGAGCUCGUAGGCGGUUCGGCAAGUCGGAUGUGAAAUCUCCACGCUUAACGUGGAGGGGCCAUUCGAAACUGCUGUGACUCGAGUCCGGUAGGGGAGUGUGGAAUUCCCGGUGUAGCGGUGAAAUGCGCAGAUAUCGGGAGGAACACCAGUAGCGAAGGCGGCACUCUGGGCCGGUACUGACGCUGAGGAGCGAAAGCGUGGGGAGCGAACAGGAUUAGAUACCCUGGUAGUCCACGCCGUAAACGUUGGGCACUAGGUGUGGGACUCUAUCGACGGGUUCCGUGCCGUAGCUAACGCAUUAAGUGCCCCGCCUGGGGAGUACGGCCGCAAGGCUA